CCCUCUAGGGUGAGCAAGACAGCUGCUGCUGACGCCCCUGCCUAGCCUGGGAUUCUCCCUUUAAGAAUUAUUCCUUUGCUUGGCCAACACCCCCAGCACCUUGUCCUUUGCAGGUGGCCAUUGCAGGGCAGGCAUGGCCUGGAAGAGGUGAGGUGAGGGAGGAGCGCUCUCCCGGAGUUGAUGUGCUCCGUCAGCAAGUUAUCAGUUUGGUGGGUGCAGGGAGAUUAUUGCCCCGAGGAGGAAAGAAUACAGGACAGGCAAGUUUCAAAGGAAAGGAGGCCUUUGCACCAACAUGUCCUCGCUGGGGAUGGGGCGGGGCGGGGCGGGGUGAAGAAGGCUGUUUCGGCCAAAAAUGGAAGAUGGCUAUUGAGGGGUUAGGGGGGUAGGUGACCACAGAAGGCAAGACUCCUGCAGGGGUCAGGGAGGUCAAAAGCCAGCAGGAACCUAAGAGUUCAACUGGAUUCCUUUUUCUCCAUGCCCUGUUGCUUGGCCUGGGCCAUAGAAGUGAAAAGAAUGAAGAAAACAAAUAGUCGCCACCUACCCACCAUUUGCCAGGCCCUUACCAAGUAGUUCCUACAAUUUUGUUUACUUCUCUUGACAACCCAGUGCCCUUAUCCCCAGUUCUCUAGAUUAGCUCUGAGAGGUCAAGUAACUUGUUCAGGUUCAUGCAUUAAGUGGCAGAGUCUGGACUGGGGCCCGGGUACAUCUGACUCAAAGCUUGUGCUUUUUCCAUUUUUUCAUAUUGCCUGGAGGAGAGAGUAGAGGAUAGUUAGAAAGAAAGGGAGGGAGUAGGGUGUAUAGCUCAAGGACAGGGCGGGCCUUUCCUAACAGGGCUGGAAGGUUCUAGAAUGCCCCAGAACAAAGCUGUCAGCUGAGAGACUGUUACCAUUGGAUCACUCACCCUGACACCCCAGUAGUUCUCACUCCCUGUGUGCAAGGCUCCAUGGCUCAACUCAUAGUCUGGGUGAGGAGGAGGAAAUUGUCUUGUGAUAUUACAAUUAUUCAUCCAUCACUUCAUCGUCAAAGAACUUAGAGUGUGAAACAUUAUCCAUUUCCCUUUUGUAAGUUGCUAGGUCGAAUGUCAGGGUUGCCAUUGGUCAUCUUGGUCUAUGGAGGGAAAACAGCCUGACCACUGCCUCAAGUCAUAAGAGGGACAAGAAAAGGAUGUAACUCAGGACUCUAGACUCCAAGUUCUAGUGUUUUAGAUGCUUACCAAAUGCUAAGUUAUAGGGCUACAAUUAGCUCUUAAUUCUCUAUGCCCAUGACAGAAAAUAGAUGUGCAAAUAAAUAAAAAUGAUUUUGCUUUGGAGUAUACAAUACUACAUUUCUGCAGAAGAUGUGACAGUGAGUAUGGUAAUCAUCGCCGCAACAAGACGGUGCAUCGCCUCAAUAUCAGGGAAGACUUUGCAGAAGUCAAGGCUGACUGUUUUGUAGAAUUCACUCUAAUAAAGGAGAUAUAAACCACAA